rnacentral:rRNA from 1 species
CCUACGGGUGGCAGCAGUGAGGAAUAUUGGUCAAUGGCCGGAAGGCUGAACCAGCCAUGCCGCGUGAAGGUCAGUGCCCUAUGGGCGUUAAACUUCUUUUGUGCGGGAGCAAUAAUGGUCACGUGUGACCAGACGAGAGUACCGUACGAAUAAGCAUCGGCUAACUCCGUGCCAGCAGCCGCGGUCAUACGGGGGAUGCAAGCGUUAUCCGGAUUUAUUGGGUUUAAAGGGUGCGUAGGCUGUGAGGUAAGUCAGCGGUGAAAUGCCCCCGCUCAACGGGGUGAAGUGCCAUUGAUACUGCCUGGCUUGAAUGCGGAUGCCGUGGGAGGAAUGUGUGGUGUAGCGGUGAAAUGCAUAGAUAUCACACAGAACACCGAUUGCGAAGGCAUCUCACGAAUCCGCGAUUGACGCUGAUGCACGAAAGCGUGGGUAUCAAACAGGAUUAGAUACCCUGGUAGUC